GCCGGGAUAGCCUAGCCAGGUAAGGCGCAGGCCUGGAGAGCCUGUGGGCGUUUGCCCUCGUGGGUUCAAAUCCCACUCCCGGCG
rnacentral:tRNA from 2 species